UAUUGGACAAUGGGGGGAACCCUGAUCCAGCCAUGCCGCGUGUGUGAAGAAGGCCUUAUGGUUGUAAAGCACUUUAAGCGAGGAGGAGGCUCCUGUAGUUAAUACCUACAGUGAGUGGACGUUACUCGCAGAACAAGCACCGGCUAACUUUGUGCCAGCAGCCGCGAUAAUACAGAGGGUGCGAGCGUUAAUCGGAUUUACUGGGCGUAAAGCGUGCGUAGGCGGCUUUUUAAGUCGGAUGUGAAAUCCCCGAGCUUAACUUGGGAAUUGCAUUCGAUACUGGGAAGCUAGAGUAUGGGAGAGGAUGGUAGAAUUCCAGGUGUAGCGGUGAAAUGCGUAGAGAUUUGGAGGAAUACCGAUGGCGAAGGCAGCCAUCUGGCCUAAUACUGACGCUGAGUACGAAA
rnacentral:rRNA from 1 species